AACGAACGCUGGCGGCAUGCCUAAUACAUGCAAGUCGAGCGAGAUCUUCGGAUCUAGUGGCGCACGGGUGCGUAACGCGUGGGAAUCUGCCCUUGGGUUCGGAAUAACGUCGGGAAACUGACGCUAAUACCGGAUGAUGACGUAAGUCCAAAGAUUUAUCGCCCAAGGAUGAGCCCGCGUAGGAUUAGCUAGUUGGUAAGGUAAAGGCUUACCAAGGCGACGAUCCUUAGCUGGUCUGAGAGGAUGAUCAGCCACACUGGGACUGAGACACGGCCCAGACUCCUACGGGAGGCAGCAGUAGGGAAUAUUGGACAAUGGGCGCAAGCCUGAUCCAGCAAUGCCGCGUGAGUGAUGAAGGCCUUAGGGUUGUAAAGCUCUUUUACCCGGGAUGAUAAUGACAGUACCGGGAGAAUAAGCCCCGGCUAACUCCGUGCCAGCAGCCGCCGUAA
rnacentral:rRNA from 1 species